rnacentral:rRNA from 1 species
GAACCGUACAAACGUUAUUCGGAAUUACUGGGCUUAAAGGGUGCGUAGGCGGCUUGGCAAGUUGGGGCGUGAAAUCCCUCGGGCUCAACCGAGGAAUUGCGCCCAAAACUGCCAGACUUGAGGGAGACAGAGGUGAGUGGAACUUAGGGUGGAGCGGUGAAAUGCGUUGAUAUCCUAAGGAACACCAGUGGCGAAAGCGACUCACUGGGUCUCUCCUGACGCUGAGGCACGAAAGCUAGGGUAGCGAACGGGAUUAGAUACCCCGGUAGUCCUAGCUGUAAACGAUGAGCACUGGGUCGGAGAGCCUUCCAUAGCUUUCCGGCCGCAGCGAAAGUGUUAAGUGCUCCGCCUGGGGAGUAUGGUCGCAAGGCUG